AUACUUACCUAGCAGGGGAGAUACCAUGCUCACGAAGGUGGUUUUCCCAGGGCGAGGCAUAUCCAUUGCACUCCGGAUGUGCUGACCCCUGCAAUUUCCCCAAAUGUGGGAAGCUCGACUGCAUAAUUUGUGGUAGUGGGGGACUGUGUCCGCGGUCUUCCCUG
rnacentral:snRNA from 1 species